AACGAACGCUGGCGGCAGGUCUUAGGCAUGCAAGUCGAACGGGUGUAGCAAUACAUCAGUGGCGAACGAGUGAGUAACGCGUGGGAAACUGCCCAUCUCUGGGGAAUAACGUUUGGAAACGAACGCUAAUACCGCAUACGCCCGCAAGGGGAAAGAUUUAUCGGAGAUGGAUGUGCCCGCGUUGGAUUAGCUUGUUGGUGGGGUAACGGCCUACCAAGGCGAAGAAUCCAUAGCUGGUCUGAGAGGACGAUCAGCCACGCUGGAACUGAGACACGUUCCAGACUCCAACGGGAGGAAGAGGCAAAAAUUAUUGGGAAAGGGGGAAACCCUGACCCAGCCAUGCCGCGUGAAUGAAGAAGGCCUUCGGGUUGUAAAGUUCUUUUAGUCGUGAAGAUGAUGACAGUAGCGACAGAAAAAGCACCGGCUAACUUCGUGCCAGCCGCCGCGGUAA
rnacentral:rRNA from 1 species